UACAGAGGUCUCAAGCGUUGUUCGGAAUUACUGGGCGUAAAGGGUGCGCAGGCCGCGCGGGCAGUCAAAUGUGUAAUCCAGGGGCUCAACCCCUGAACUGCGCUUGAUACUUCCGCGCUCGAGCUUUGGAGAGGAGUCUGGAAUUCUCGGUGUAGCAGUGAAAUGCGUAGAGAUGUGGAGGAACACCGAUGGCGAAGGCAGCCCCCUGGGUCAAGAUUGACGCUCAUGCACGAAAGCGUGGGGAGCAAACAGG
rnacentral:rRNA from 1 species